rnacentral:lncRNA from 1 species
CCUGUGUUACUUCUGUUUCCUAUUGCCUAGUACUGAAUGGUGGCCUUACUAAGCCAUUCAUUGCUAGGAGAGGUAUUAGGCAAGGUGAUCCCAUGUCUUCUUAUUUGUUUGUUCUUGGUAUGGAGUAUCUGAAUGGAACACUGGGACAUUUGCACAAAAUUGGAGAUUUUAACUUUCAUCCCAAAUGCAGGAAGCUAAACUGUGUACAUGUUUGCUUUGCUGAUGACCUUCUUAUGUUCUGUCGAGCUG